rnacentral:rRNA from 1 species
UACGAAGGGGGCUAGCGUUGCUCGGAAUCACUGGGCGUAAAGCGCACGUAGGCGGCUUGUUAAGUCAGGGGUGAAAUCCUGGAGCUCAACUCCAGAACUGCCUUUGAUACUGGCGAGCUCGAGUCCGGGAGAGGUGAGUGGAACUCCGAGUGUAGAGGUGAAAUUCGUAGAUAUUCGGAAGAACACCAGUGGCGAAGGCGGCUCACUGGCCCGGUACUGACGCUGAGGUGCGAAAGCGUGGGGAGCAAACAGG